CCUUGACCACAUAAACACAAAUUCUCAAAAAAUCCAAAAACCCCAUAACAUAAACAAACACUUCACUACACCGCCUUGCCGAUUUCUAAGCUGGCAAAGGCUAUCUCAAACUAACCAAAACCCACACACACAACCUUCUAAGAAUAAAAACUUAAGGCUCUGGCGUAGCCCAAAACUGGGGUUAAUUCCCGAUGGGUGAGGAGGCCUGGAAUGGUUCCUCACUGAAAGGGCGCUAGAGGCAUGCUCUCUAACGUUGCCCAAGGAUGGGGCCGCGGCCGAUCAGGUUGUUGGUGAGGUAACGGCUUACCAAGCCUAUAACCGGUACGGGCCGUGAGAGCGGAAGCCCGGAGAUGGGCACUGAGAUAAGGGCCCAGGCCCUACGGGGCGCAGCAGUUGCGAAAACUCCGCAAUGCACGAAAGUGUGACGGGGCUACCCCGAGUGCCGUCCGCUGAGGAUGGCUUUUCUCCGCUGUAAGGAGGCGGAGGAAUAAGGAGAGGGCAAGACUGGUGUCAGCCGCCGCGGUAAUACCAGCUCUCCGAGUGGUAGGGGUGAUUAUUGGGCUUAAAGCGUCCGUAGCCGGCCUGGCAAGUCUCCCGUUAAUCCAGCAACCUAAUUGUUGGGCUGCGGGGGAUACUGUUAGGCUAGGGGGCGGGAGAGGCCGACGGUAUUCUCGGGGUAGGGGUGAAAUCUUAUAAUCCCGGGAGGACACCA
rnacentral:rRNA from 1 species